rnacentral:rRNA from 1 species
AAAGCCCUUCGGGGUGAGUAGAGUGGCGCACGGGUGAGUAACACGUAGGUAAUCUGCCCUUGAGUUUGGGAUAACCCUUCGAAAGAAGGGCUAAUACCGGAGAGACCACGACUCCAUCAGGAGUUGUGAUUAAAGGCGGUGCAAGCCGUCGCUCGAGGAUGAGCCUGCGGCCUAUUAGCUUGUUGGUGAGGUAAAGGCUCACCAAGGCAGGGAUGGGUAUCUGGUUUGAGAGGAUGAUCAGACACACUGGAACUGAGACACGGUCCAGACUCCUACGGGAGGCAGCAGUGGGGAAUUUUGCACAAUGGGCGAAAGCCUGAUGCAGCAAUGCCGCGUGAGGGAAGAAGGUUUUCGGAUUGUAAAUCUCUGUCGGCUGGGAAGAACACUUAGAUCAGGAAAUGGGUCUGAGCUGACGGUACCAGCAAAGGAAGGGGCGGCUAACUCUGUGCCAGCAGCCGCGGUAAUACAGAGGCCCCAAGCGUUGUUCGGAAUUAUUGGGCGUAAAGCGGGUGUAGGUGGCAUAGCAAGUCAGAUGUGAAAGCCCUGGGCUCAACCCAGGAAGUGCGUCUGAUACUGCCGUGCUAGAGUGCGAGAGAGGGAAUUGGAAUUCCAGGUGUAGGGGUGAAAUCCGUAGAUAUCUGGAGGAAUACCAAUGGCGAAGGCAGAUUCCUGGCUCGCAACUGACACUCAGACCCGAAAGCGUGGGUAGCAAACAGGAUUAGAUACCCUGGUAGUCCACGCCGUAAACGAUGGAUGCUUGUCGUUGGAGGAUUAAAACUUUCAGUGACGGAGCUAACGCGUUAAGCAUCCCGCCUGGGGAGUACGGUCGCAAGAUUAAAACUCAAAGAAAUUGACGGGGACCCGCACAAGCAGUGGAGCAUGUGGUUUAAUUCGACGCAACGCGAAGAACCUUAUCCUAGUCUUGACAUCUACUGGACGCGUCCUGGAAACAGGCGUUUCCCUUCGGGGACCGGUAGACAGGUGCUGCAUGGCUGUCGUCAGCUCGUGUCGUGAGAUGUUGGGUUAAGUCCCGCAACGAGCGCAACCCACGCCCCUUGUUGCCAUCAUUCAGUUGGGCACUCUAGGGGGACCGCCGGCGUCAAGCCGGAGGAAGGUGUGGAUGACGUCAAGUCCUCAUGGCCCUUAUGACUAGGGCUACACACGUGCUACAAUGGGGUACACAAAGAGCAGCGAGACGGUAACGUUUAGCCAAUCUCAAAAAAUGCCCCUCAGUUCGGAUUGAGGUCUGCAACUCGACCUCAUGAAGCUGGAAUUGCUAGUAAUCGCAGAUCAGAAUGCUGCGGUGAUACGUUCUCGGGUCUUGUACACACCGCCCGUCACACCACGAAAGUCGUUUGCACC